rnacentral:rRNA from 1 species
UACAGAGGUCUCAAGCGUUGUUCGGAAUCACUGGGCUUAAAGGGCGCGUAGGCGGGCCGCCAAGUCCGCGGUGAAAUCCCCCGGCUCAACCGGGGAACUGCCGCGGAUACUGGAGGUCUCGAGGGGGGUAGGGGCAUGCGGAACUGCGGGUGGAGCGGUGAAAUGCGUUGAUAUCCGCAGGAACUCCGGUGGCGAAGGCGGCGUGCUGGACCCUUUCUGACGCUGAGGCACGAAAGCGUGGGGAGCGAACAGG